AUGCUUGCAGCAGCUAAAGGCCAUCUUUUAAACACUUCUAGUGAUUCCUACCUGGAUUACCUUUUUCAGAGACAGUAUUUUCAAAGCCCUGACUGCGAACAUCAGGGUACAGAGAACGGAUCACAACUGAAGAAGGCACCCAGUUGUACCUGCGUCGUCUUGGGGAACGCGCCAACCCACACACCUGCUCAGCAAGUAUGUGGAGAAAGGGAAGCAGCCCGGAUGCUCAAGGUGCUGUGUCAAUCCUUCCAAAUGAAUGAUGGGGACUUGGGCAAGACUGAUGGGAUGCUGAGGAGGUGAAGAGCGCUUGAAAAUGCUGAGAUCAAAUCCUCCAGACAGAGAUGCUACAAGGGGCCUGUGGCCACUGCUUUGCUUUCAGGAUGUUCUCAAGAAUCUUUAAUUAGCUGCCAACCUUUAAAAGCUUAGAGAUUAUGUAUUAAUGUCUAGCUCCCCACACCAGUUCUAUAUUCUUACAUGGCAGCCACAGCUGGAGUCGGGCAAGCUGCUGCCAGUUAGCUGGGCCAUGCCUGCUACAAUGUAGCCCAAUGCUACAUCCCUCUGAAUUACUCACCUAGCCCCAACAGGCAUUGUACACACUGAUGUGUGCCGUUCAGGGGUGUGCGUUUGAACGAUGGCAGUGCUCUCUGUUAUGUAGCAGUUAAUAUAGAAUACAAAAAAAUGGAGAGGAAUGAAAUGGCAUCUUGUGAUCUGUCCUUUUUAGCCCUUGCUUAUACUCCUGUGGAACUGUGGUCUUCCUCCCUUUUACUUGUUGAAUAUUGUGGUUAGUGGUGAAUCAAGCCUGUGAAGAUGGAAUGGAUUAAAAUUACAUCUUUGCAAAAACUGGUGUAAGGAGGUCGGGGAAUUGAGGGUGGGAGGGAGGGAAGUGUGGCUGUCUUCUUGGAACUGCACCUAAAGGAAUCCAUGAAGUGUGUUCUCUUUAUAUUAAUAACAAGUAAAAAAAGAUGGCAAAGCUUAAUUCAAGAAAGAAAACCACUGAAGAAGCAUUUCAUGUGCCCGUAGAGAAAAGACUUCAUGGAAACAGGAAUCUUCUGGUUCCUGUGAGUUGUGUUGCAGAAAUGAUCACUUGUAGAUCAAAUAGGUGCUCAUCAGCUUUCCAAAUACGUAUACUCCUUUUCAUCUGUGUCUAGUCCUGCCUCUCACAGGGCCUCCAAAAUUAAAAUAAAAUGUUUCCUUCCUCUAAAGAGAGGUAUUUU
rnacentral:lncRNA from 1 species